CCCCUAGAUGUUCUGGGCCGCACGCGCGCUACACUGAAGCGUUCAACGAGUAUUCACCUUGCCCGGGAGGGUUGGGUAAUCUUUUGAAAACGCUUCGUGAUGGGGAUAGAUUAUUGCAAUUAUUAAUCUUCAACGAGGAAUUCCUAGUAAGCGCGAGUCAUCAGCUCGUGCUGAUUACGUCCCUGCCCUUUGUACACACCGCCCGUCGCACCUACCGAUUGAAUGGUCCGGUGAAGCCUCCGGAUUGGCGCGCACCUCGGUGCCGCCGAGAAGUUGGCUAAACCUUACCAUUUAGAGGAAGGUGAAGUCGUAACA
rnacentral:rRNA from 1 species